CAGGAUGUAGCUUAUAUGGAAAGCUUUUUAUUUACAUUAAAAUUAAAAUUGAUUAUUUUUUCUGA
rnacentral:tRNA from 1 species